rnacentral:rRNA from 1 species
UACGAGAGGCGCAAACGUUAUUCGGAAUUAAUGGGAGUAAAGAGUUCGUAGGCGGCUAAAUAAGUUGGGUGUGAAACCCCCAGGCUCAACCUGGGGACGCCACCCGAUACUGUUGUGGCUAGAGUCCAGUAGGGGAGUGUGGAAUUCCCGGUGUAGCGGUGAAAUGCGCAGAUAUCGGGAGGAACACCAGCGGCGAAGGCGGCACUCUGGGCUGGUACUGACGCUGAGGAGCGAAAGCGUGGGUAGCAAACAGG